GAUGAACGCUGGCGGCGUGCCUAAUACAUGCAAGUCGAGCGAACAGACGAGGAGCUUGCUCCUUUGACGUUAGCGGCGGACGGGUGAGUAACACGUGGAUAACCUGCCUAUAAGACUGGGAUAACUUCGGGAAACCGGAGCUAAUACCGGAUAACAUGUUGAACCGCAUGGUUCAACAGUGAAAGACGGUCUUGCUGUCACUUAUAGAUGGAUCCGCGCCGCAUUAGCUAGUUGGUAAGGUAACGGCUUACCAAGGCAACGAUGCGUAGCCGACCUGAGAGGGUGAUCGGCCACACUGGAACUGAGACACGGUCCAGACUCCUACGGGAGGCAGCAGUAGGGAAUCUUCCGCAAUGGGCGAAAGCCUGACGGAGCAACGCCGCGUGAGUGAAGAAGGUCUUCGGAUCGUAAAACUCUGUUAUUAGGGAAGAACAAAUGUGUAAGUAACUAUGCACGUCUUGACGGUACCUAAUCAGAAAGCCACGGCUAACUACGUG
rnacentral:rRNA from 1 species